rnacentral:rRNA from 1 species
UACGGAGGAUGCAAGCGUUAUCCGGAAUGAUUGGGCGUAAAGCGUCCGCAGGUGGCUAUGUAAGUCCGUUGUGAAAGUCAAAGGCUCAACCUUUGAAAGCCGAUGGAUACUGCAGGGCUAGAGUCCGGAAGAGGCGAGUGGAAUUCCUGGUGUAGCGGUGGAAUGCGCAGAUAUCAGGAGGAACACCAAUAGCGAAGGCAGCUCGCUGGGACGGUACUGACGCUAAGGCGCGAAAGCGUGGGGAGCGAACAGG